rnacentral:rRNA from 1 species
UACGUAGGGGGCUAGCGUUGUCCGGAAUCAUUGGGCGUAAAGCGCGUGUAGGCGGCCCGGUAAGUCCGCUGUGAAAGUCGGGGGCUCAACCCUCGAAUGCCGGUGGAUACUGUCGGGCUAGAGUACGGAAGAGGCGAGUGGAAUUCCUGGUGUAGCGGUGAAAUGCGCAGAUAUCAGGAGGAACACCGAUGGCGAAGGCAGUUCUCUGGGCCGUAACUGACGCUGAGGAGCGAAAGCGUGGGGAGCGAACAGG